UCGGGAAUUUUGGGCAAUGGGGGAAACCCUGACCCAGCAACGCCGCGUGAAGGAUGAAGUAUUUCGGUAUGUAAACUUCGAAAGAAUAGGAAGAAUAAAUGACGGUACUAUUUAUAAGGUCCGGCUAACUACGUGCCAGCAGCCGCGGUAAUACGUAGGGACCAAGCGUUGUUCGGAAUUACUGGGCGUAAAGGGCGCGUAGGCGGCCCUCUAAGUCAGACGUGAAAUCCCCCGGNUUAACCUGGGAACUGCGUCUGAUACUGGAGGGCUUGAGUAUGGGAGAGGGAUGUAGAAUUCCAGGUGUAGCGGUGAAAUGCGUAGAUAUCUGGAGGAACACCUGUGGCGAAGGCGGCCACCUGGUUGGAUACUGACGCUGAGACGCGAAAGCGUGGGGAGCAAACAGGAUUAGAUACCCCCGUAUUCCCUGAGCGGGCUGGCAAGGCGCAU
rnacentral:rRNA from 1 species